UCAGAAUUUAAGUUUAGCUUCAGUUUGAAAUAGAUUUUUUUGGUCAGAUUAGGCCUCACUUUGUUGAUACAUGUGUGUUCUUUUAUUGAUAGCUGUGGCAUUUUUAUUGUGAUCAUACACUAAUGGUCAUUGUGUUAUUAUGUAAUAGAUGUAUCAAGGGAUGACACAGAGACCUCUGGCUCUGAGCAAGACAGUGAGCCAGAGCUCUUAGGAGAUGUCAUCGAGCCCCUCCCAACUGCAUCAAGCUCUAAAAUGCCUCAAUGGACACUGGGGUUAACAUCCCCCAUUGCUGCCCUGGGGAUUUAGGAUUUGAUAAACAGGCCACAGAGAAGAGGUCCACCUACUGGCCAUCCAAUGCCACUUCCAGAAGCAUAUGGUAUCCCAACGAGGGGCCAGUGAGGAGCAACCAGAAGGGACAUUAAACAGGUUUCUUAAUUCUUCGGUCUUGAAGAUCAGUAAUGUGCAGAGAAUGCAGUAUUGCAUUGACAUGGCCACAGGAAUAUGUUUUGAUCAGGGAUAGCACGUACAGACGAUGCGUGCCCAUUGGCCAAACCGAUAACGGAAACGGACCAUCCGCAAGCACAAAUGACAGAUGUUUGGAAUGUUGUCGAGGGGGCUGUGGACACCGAAAUACAACCUUUCUAGUACAUGUCUAGGAGUCACAUGUAAGAGGACUUACAGAUGGGAUUACCAGAGUGGAUCAGAAAGCCUCUUAGCUCCAGCUCCUGCGGCAAUACUAGUGCUUUAAAACAUUCUGUUAAAAUAAAAUUUAUCUGUUAACAUGUUGAUUCUACUAUUGGGAUUUUAAUGCACAAACACCACACGAGACCAGGGUGUUGUUUUAUUCUGACUUAAACACAUUCCACUGAUGGAUUUUCAACCUCUUACGUCUUAACACAGAGCAAAGCAUCAAGCAUUUAACCCAUGAGUUACAGUAUUAUGUGGUAAGGUGAAAAGGUCUCAUUACCUGGAGUUUGCAAAAGAUUUUCCCUGUCCAAGUCAUCCUGAUGGCAACAUUAAUUUUAUCCUGUUAUCCUCC
ensembl:lncRNA